rnacentral:rRNA from 1 species
GUAGUCUCGCACAGAUGCAUAUCAAUAAGCGGAGGAAAAGAAACUAACAAGGAUUCCCUCAGUAACGGCGAGUGAAGCGGGAAGAGCUCAAAUUUGAAAUCUUGAAAGGUCACCUUUCACGAAUUGUAGUUUAAAGAAGUGUUUUCUGUUACGAUCGUAAUAUAAGUUCUUUGGAAUAGGACAUCACAGAGGGUGAGAAUCCCGUCUAUGAUUGCGAUUUGUAGCUCUUGUGAUACACUUUCAAAGAGUCGGGUUGUUUGGGAAUGCAGCCCAAAACGGGAGGUAAAUUUCUUCUAAGGCUAAAUAUUGGCGAGAGACCGAUAGCGAACAAGUACCGUGAGGGAAAGAUGAAAAGAACUUUGAAAAGAGAGUUAAAUAGUACGUGAAAUUGUCAAAAGGGAAGCGUUUAACACCAGUGUUGUUUUCUGAAAAUCAACCUCUGUUAGCUUUAUGCAUGUUUGUUUAGACCUAAUCAGCUAUCUUGCAUGUUCUAUUGUUUGCAGUGGUGCACUUUUCAGUUUACAGGUCAACAUCAGUUUUUUUUACCGUAAAAAAGUUAAAGAAAGGUAGCUCAUGGCUCCGGUCGUGAGUGUUAUAGUCUUUUUCCUAUGCGGUAGGAGAGACUGAGGUCUGCAGUGUAGGCUAUUUGGCUAGAUACUCAGGUGCUAUGUGAUACCAUUUCAUAAACAACUUGUUGAUUAUGUUUUGUCUAUUGCAUACUCGCUUGUACUAUCAUACCUACGCUUAGGAUGUUGAGUCGUAGAGCACGCAG